GACGAACGCUGGCGGCGUGCUUAACACAUGCAAGUCGAACGGAAAGGCCCUGCUUUUGUGGGGUGCUCGAGUGGCGAACGGGUGAGUAACACGUGAAUAACCUGCCCUUGACUUUGGGAUAACUUCAGGAAACUGGGGCUAAUACCGGAUAGGAGCUCCUGCUGCAUGGUGGGGGUUGGAAAGUUUCGGCGGUUGGGGAUGGACUCGCGGCUUAUCAGCUUGUUGGUGGGGUAGUGGCUUACCAAGGCUUUGACGGGUAGCCGGCCUGAGAGGGUGACCGGCCACAUUGGGAAUGAGAUACGGCCCAGACUCCUACGGGAGGCAGCAGUGGGGAAUAUUGCACAAUGGGCGGAAGCCUGAUGCAGCAACGCCGCGUGCGGGAUGACGGCCUUCGGGUUGUAAACCGCUUUCGCCUGUGACGAAGCGUGAGUGACGGUAAUGGGUAAAGAAGCACCGGCUAACUACGUG
rnacentral:rRNA from 1 species